rnacentral:rRNA from 1 species
GAUGAACGCUGGCGGCGUGCCUAAUACAUGCAAGUCGAGCGAACAGACGAGGAGCUUGCUCCUCUGACGUUAGCGGCGGACGGGUGAGUAACACGUGGAUAACCUACCUAUAAGACUGGGAUAACUUCGGGAAACCGGAGCUAAUACCGGAUAACAUGUUGAACCGCAUGGUUUAACAGUGAAAGACGGUCUUGCUGUCACUUAUAGAUGGAUCCGCGCCGCAUUAGCUAGUUGGUAAGGUAACGGCUUACCAAGGCAACGAUGCGUAGCCGACCUGAGAGGGUGAUCGGCCACACUGGAACUGAGACACGGUCCAGACUCCUACGGGAGGCAGCAGUAGGGAAUCUUCCGCAACGGGCGAAAGCCUGACGGAGCAACGCCGCGUGAGUGAAGAAGGUCUUCGGAUCGUAAAACUCUGUUAUUAGGGAAGAACAAAUGUGUAAGUAACUAUGCACGUCUUGACGGUACCUAAUCAGAAAGCCACGGCUAACUACGUG